UACGAAGGGUGCAAGCGUUACUCGGAUUUACUGGGCGUAAAGGGUGCGUAGGUGGUUGUUUAAGUCUGCUGUGAAAGCCCCGGGCUCAACCUGGGAAUGGCAGUGGAUACUGGACAGCUAGAGUGCGGUAGAGGGUAGUGGAAUUCCCGGUGUAGCAGUGAAAUGCGUAGAGAUCGGGAGGAACACCAGUGGCGAAGGCGGCUACCUGGACCAGCACUGACACUGAAGCACGAAAGCGUGGGGAGCAAACAGG
rnacentral:rRNA from 1 species